rnacentral:lncRNA from 1 species
UUCUCUGGAGGAUCUCCGCGCGUGGCGAGUCUGUGUCCUCCCUGUCCCCCAGAGCAGACACCCUCUCUGUGUCUGGACCGGGGAGGAGCAGACGCUGGACAGGUUUCUGGUAGAAUGCUGGCAAUUUCCAGGAAGAUACGUGGAGAACGGAAAGGUUGCUACACCCAAAUAGUGAAGCAAAGGCUAUGAUUAUGGAGGAUUGGACCUGCAAACUCCAGAACAGAGUUUUUCUUUACAGCAACCUUGUAAAAUGUGUGUGGGCAGCACAGAGAACUUGGGCAAGUUAACAGUUUCCUCAUCUGUGAAUACUGAUUUAUGGAAAGCACCUGGUGCGUGUUCUGCCCUCUGAGGACCCUGCCCUUUCCCAAAAGGGGUAUCUUAAGAAGGAAAAUAUGGCUGCUCUUUGCCGGACAGCAGAGUCCCAGAACCCCAUGCAGGUGUUUCAGGGCUUUAUGUCAUUCAAGGAUGUGGCUGUGAACUUCACUAGGAAGAAUGGAGAGAACUGGACCUUGCUCA